rnacentral:other from 1 species
CGUCCUCUGCCAUGCCCGACAGCGUGCGCUAACAUUCGCCUUGUCCCUUAACAACGACGCCGGGAAUGUGGACGCAGCCACCGUGCGCAAGUCCGCCACGAGCGGAAAGCCUGACGUGACUGCCAGCGUUCCCACUUGAUCCUCGGGAUCAAGGUCGUUUCGCACGCAUCGACAUGGCGGAGGAUGC